GUAACGGUUCCUGCAAUCUGGGGACAACGCUGCGGGCAUCGAGGCGGUGGCGCUUGAUUUCCUUUAAAGUACCUACCACGCCACCCGCUACCUGUAAUAAUCCAUCUGAAGAGGUCGCCGGGCAGCGCCUCGGCAGACAGACUGACCUGCGGGGAGGUGCGGUUUCCAGUGGCGCGGGACAGCCGGCUCCGAGAAGGAACUGGGACCUUUGCCUAGGGCAAGACGUCAACAGGAACCCGCAGGCCCGGCCUGGACACCUGCUGCCCUCACUGGAAGCUUUAACUCCCACUCGAGUCUCUUGGCGUCGUCAGUGCCAGGAGCGCUUGGAUUGGGAUGGGGACGGAGAAGGGUGCCUCGCUCGCCGAGCCCCGCUGCCCUUGGGGACCUGGCAAAGUCGAGGUUUCCUCACAGCGUUGAGAUUGAGACUGGGGGUCGGCAGCACUGAGAAGUGAAGGAAUAUUUGGGAGGAUCAGAAGCUUGGUCCUGAUUUUGCCAUCAACAGGAACUUGAUGACUUCAAGGGAGUCCCCAAACCCUGGGUUUCUGUUUUCUCAACUCUAACAUGAGGGGCUAGAUGCAUCUGGUUUAGUUAGUCUCCAUGAUGGUUUAGUUCGUCUCCAUGAUCCUGUGAAUUUCAGAUGUUGAAAAUCUUCGGAAAAGCCCUGAAAGAUGAACAGUGGUCUCAAAUAGUCAAGACCCCCUGCUGGGAGGAGCUUCUAUCCUGCUCUGUGGAAGAAAUGGGCAUGCCAGAUGCCUGGAAGAUCAGAGGCUCACAUUCCAGAUGUAAAGUGAAAGAGUGCCAGAAAAGCAAGUGAGAGCCAUGAGAUUACCACAAGUCUGUGAGCACAUUUUUUUCAAGGCUUACAGAAUCCCAAAGCUUGCCCUUGCUUCAGGAAAAAGAACUGGUUGACACCUGAGAGGUUUUAAGCCACAAGAAGCUGAGGCCCGUUGUGAGGAGGGCAGGGACAGUGGGGCCAGGCCACACGCGACGCGUCACCCACCUCCUGCCUCACCUCCCCCCACUGAGAUGUCUGCUGGGUGGGAGGAGGCUUAUUGCCAGAGAACAGUCUGGUGUUUUCUGUUCCUGCUUCAGGAAGUCCCCCUUCUCCCGCCACCCCCGCAGCUCCUCAGCCUGGAAACAACUUUUAGAGAGGAGAAGGGAAGCAAAGCUUUCAAAAGCAGAUACCUGUGGGGUUUGAAGGGAGGUGCCCCUUGUUCAAGUAUUUCUCCCCCAAAAUUGAAAGGACACUUCAGAUUCAUUCAUUUUAGUUUUGAUGUAUCUUCAGUAAUUAAGAAGCCACUAAGAAAACUGACCCUGGGAAGGCAAAUUCCUGAAGCUGAGUCAGAUACAGCCAGCUCUUACCAUACCAUCUGACCCUCAGUUCCCUCUGACCUCAUCUCUUCCCACCUCCUCUCUGUCUGACUCAGCAGUGAGGCCACACAGGCCUCCCUGCUGAUUCGAGAAUGGCUCCCACCUGAGGCCUUGGGCCCCCCUUGUUUUCGCCCCCACAUACCCAUCUGGCUUCCCCUUCACUGCUUCCAAGGCUCUCCUCAGAGAGCAUCCUGUCAGACCAGUCUUUCCUGGACAUGCUGAGUGUACCUUUCCCCUAUUUCAUUUUCCUUCGUGGCACCUUUUACCACCUGAUAUGUUCAAUGGCUCUAUGUUUGUUUGUAGUAAGUCUCGCCUGACUAGAAUAUAAGACCCAUGGGAGAAGAGACUUUCUGCUCUACCCUUGGCACAUACCGGGUGCUCAAAAAAUAUUCAAGUGCUCGCUUCGGCAGUACAUGUACUAAAACUGGAACAAUACAGAGAACAUUAGCACGGCCCCUUCACAAGGAUGACACACAAAUUUAUGCAGCAUUCCAUAAUUUCGAGAAAUACAAAUCAAAACCACAAUGAGAUAACAUCUCACACCAGUCAGAAUGGCUAUUAUUAAAAAGACAGAAAAUAAGAGUUGCUGGUGAGGCUGCAGAGGAAAGGGGAAAGCUUAUAUGCUCUUAAUGGAAACACAAACUAGUUGAGCCACUGUGGAAGACAGUUUGGAGAUUUCUCAAGGAACUCAAAAUAGAACAACCAUUAGACCCAGCAAUCCCACUACUGAGUAUAUACCCAAAGGAAAGUAAUUCAUCCUAUCUUAAAGACACAUAUGCUCCUAUGUUCACUGCAGCACCAUUCACAAUAGCAAGGACAUGGAAUCAACCUAAGAGCCCAUCAACAGUGGAUUGGAGAGAGAAAAUGAGGUACAAAUACACCAUGGAAUACUAUGCAGCCAUAAAAAAGAAUGAAAUCAUGUCCUUUCGCAACAUGGAUGGAGGUGGAAGGCAUUAUGACCUCCAUAAAUGACCUAAUGUAAGAACCUAAAACAAAAUAUUGCAUGUUAUCACUUGUAAGUGGGGCCUAAACGUUGAAGACACAUGAUCACGAAGAUGGGAACAAUAGGCACUGGGGAUCACUAGAUGGGGAAGGAAGGGAGCAGGGGGCAUGGGCUGGAGUGCCACCUGUUGCGUCCUAUACUUAUUCCCUGGGUGAUGGGAUCAUUGGGAUCCCAAGCCUCAGGGUGAUGCAAUUUACCCAUGUAAUAAACCUGCAUGUGUAC
rnacentral:lncRNA from 1 species